CCUACGGCGGUCAGCAGUGAGGCAUAUUGGUCAAUGGGAGAGAUCCUGAACCAGCCAAGCCGCGUGAGGGAAGACGGCCCUAUGGGUUGUAAACCUCUUUUGUCGGAGAACAAAACCCGGGACGUGUCCCGGACUGCGUUUAUCCGCAGAAAAAGCAUCGGCUACCGCCGUGCCAGCAGCCGCGGUCAUCCGGAGGAUGCGAGCGUUAUCCGGUUUUAGUGGGGUUAAAGGGUGCGUAGGAGGUCCGUUAAGUCAGCGGUAAAAUUGCGGGGCUCAACCCCGUCGAGCCGUUGAAACUGGCAGACGUGAGUUGGCGAGAAGUACGCGGAAUGCGCGGUGUAGCGGUGAAAUGCAUAGAUAUCGCGCAGAACUCCGAUUGCGAAGGCAGCGUACCGGCGCCAGACUGACGCUGAGGCACGAAAGCGUGGGGAUCGAACAGGAUUAGAUACCCCUGUAGUC
rnacentral:rRNA from 1 species